AGUGAACGCUGGCGGUAGGCCUAACACAUGCAAGCCGAACGGCAGCACAGAGGAGCUUGCUCCUUGGGUGGCGAGUGGCGGACGGGUGAGGAAUACAUCGGAAUCUACUCUGUCGUGGGGGAUAACGUAGGGAAACUUACGCUAAUACCGCAUACGACCUACGGGUGAAAGCAGGGGAUCUUCGGACCUUGCGCGAUUGAAUGAGCCGAUGUCGGAUUAGCUAGUUGGCGGGGUAAAGGCCCACCAAGGCGACGAUCCGUAGCUGGUCUGAGAGGAUGACCAGCCACACUGGAACUGAGACACGGUCCAGACUCCUACGGGAGGCAGCAGUGGGGAAUAUUGGACAAUGGGCGCAAGCCUGAUCCAGCCAUACCGCGUGGGUGAAGAAGGCCUUCGGGUUGUAAAGCCCUUUUGUUGGGAAAGAAAUCCAUCUGGUUAAUACCCGGGUGGGAUGACGGUACCCAAAGAAUAAGCACCGGCUAACUUCGUGCCAGCAGCCGCAGUAA
rnacentral:rRNA from 1 species